rnacentral:misc_RNA from 1 species
UUAAGUUCAGCGGGUAGUCCUACCUGAUUUGAGGUCUAGUCUUAAAUAGUGCCCAUACAGGCGAUUGGAAGCAGUCUUCCCCUUGACCAGAUGAAACUUAUUACAUCAGGCUACGGUUGGAACCACUAAGAUAUUCAAGGUGAGCAGAUUGCAACACCCAAAUCCACGUCUAUAGAGAAAACUCUAGAGAGUGAGGUUUC